AUGUUCAAUUCCUGGAUGAAUGGUAACACAGUAGCUUGUUUUGCUUUCUACAGCCUUUCCAAGGAAAGAAGCAGUUAUGUUGCAGUGGUAAUAAGGCUUGACAUGAUGAUAUGUAUUGGAGAUUGCUUGUUGUGCUGGAGAUUUUGGGAGAUCUGGUGUGAGUGCAGUCAUCACAUUUAUCACAAUUCGGAGUUAUCGCCUGCAAUGCUCACGCGGCUUGCGAUUGACGAAGCCAAUGUUCGAAGGAUGCUGACGCACGACACAUCAUUUUGCCAAAUUAAUCUAGCUUACCGAGCCCGAUCAUUUUGGUUGACCUUGUAUGUACUCUCUUAUAUAUGCAAGUUAUGUACCAAUUGUUCCUACGAGAUGGAGAUGGAGCAGAAAGAGUUUGGCCUGGACAAAUGGGAUUAG
rnacentral:rRNA from 1 species